GAUGAAGAACGUAGCGAAAUGCGAUAAGUAAUGUGAAUUGCAGAAUUCAGUGAAUCAUCGAAUCUUUGAACGCACAUUGCGCCCGCCAGUAUUCUGGCGGGCAUGCCUGUCCGAGCGUCAUUUCAACCCUCGAACCCCUCCGGGGGGUCGGCGUUGGGGAUCGGCCCUUUCACCGGGUGCCGUCCCCCAAAUACAGUGGCGGUCUCGCCGCAGCCUCUCAUGCGCAGUAGUUUGCACACUCGCACCGGGAGCGCGGCGCGUCCACGUCCGUAAAACACCCCAAUCUUCUGAAAUGUUGACCUCGGAUCAGGUAGGAAUACCCGCUGAACUUAAGCAUAUCAAUAAGCUGAGGA
rnacentral:misc_RNA from 1 species